rnacentral:rRNA from 1 species
GACGAACGCUGGCGGCGUGCCUAACACAUGCAAGUCAACUUGACUGAAGGAGCAAUCUGACAGUAGAGUGGCGCAAGGGUGCGUAACGCGUAAGUAACUUGCCCAAGGUAAGGAAUAACGUCGAGAAAUCGGCGCUAAUACCUCAUAAUGCAGCGGAUCCGCAUGGAUAUGUUGUUAAAGGUUUACCGCCUUGGGAUAGGCUUGCGUCUGAUUAGUUAGUUGGUGUGGUAACGGCACACCAAGGCUACGAUCAGUAACUGGUCUGAGAGGAUGAUCAGUCACACUGGAACUGAGACACGGUCCAGACUCCUACGGGAGGCAGCAGUGAGGAAUAUUGGGCAAUGCUCGAAAGAGUGACCCAGCAACGCCGCGUGGAGGAUGAAGGUAUUCUAUAUCGUAAACUCCUGUGAGAGCAGACGAAAGACAGAUUAUUAAUCUGGAUGACUGUAUGCUCAGAGGAAG